rnacentral:rRNA from 1 species
AGUGAACGCUGGCGGUAGGCCUAACACAUGCAAGUCGAACGGCAGCACAGGAGAGCUUGCUCUCUGGGUGGCGAGUGGCGGACGGGUGAGGAAUACAUCGGAAUCUACUUUUUCGUGGGGGAUAACGUAGGGAAACUUACGCUAAUACCGCAUACGACCUACGGGUGAAAGCAGGGGACCUUCGGGCCUUGCGCGAUUGAAUGAGCCGAUGUCGGAUUAGCUAGUUGGCGGGGUAAAGGCCCACCAAGGCGACGAUCCGUGGCUGGUCUGAGAGAAUGGUCAGCCCAACUGGAACUGAGACACGGUCCAGACUCCUACGGGAGGCAGCAGUGGGGAAUAUUGGACAAUGGGCGCAAGCCUGAUCCAGCCAUACCGCGUGGGUGAAGAAGGCCUUCGGGUUGUAAAGCCCUUUUGUUGGGAAAGAAAUCCAGCUGGCUAAUACCCGGUUGGGAUGACGGUACCCAAAGAAUAAGCACCGGCUAACUUCGUGCCAGCCGCCGCAGUAA